rnacentral:rRNA from 1 species
AAGGUUUCCGUAGGUGAACCUGCGGAAGGAUCAUUAGAAGAAUAUGUACCAAGCUUUAUCGAGAGUUCGGAGUUACAGUUCAAACACACCCUGCGUACCCUUCCUGUUGCUUCCGCGGUUGGGGGCUUGUCACUGACAGUCCUAGCUGACCAAGAAGGUUGGCUUCCGUGAAAGAUAUUUUACAAACUAUUUGCAUUUGUCUUGCCUUCUGUCUGAAUCAUGUUUAUAACAAAUGUUAAAACUUUCAACAACGGAUCUCUUGGUUCUCGCAUCGAUGAAGAACGCAGCGAAAUGCGAUAAGUAGUGUGAAUUGCAGAAUUCAGUGAAUCAUCGAAUCUUUGAACGCACAUUGCGCCUCCUGGUAUUCCGGGAGGCAUGCCUGUCCGCGCACAAAAUGGCUCAUUCAGGGUGACCAGGGUUGCUUUGGUACUGAAGGUCGAAUGUUGCUCAUAUGUUUGUUCGUCUUUAAAAUUUACAGGCGGGCGACUUCAAGUCCUUUCAUAGCGUUGUAAGUUAACUCUUUCGCUUAGGACUUGGUGGCUUGUCCAGCCUCGAAACCUCCAAUUACCCAGUGGAUGGUCGCGGAUCAGGUAGGGAUACCCGCUGAACUUAAGCAUAUCAAUAA